CUGAGCAAUACAUAUUAGUCAGCAUUAUCUCCCUGAAGAGAAUGAAGAUGUCUGGAAAGAACUUCAGAGCUGAUAUUUUGAUAUCACACGAAUUCACAUGAAUAUUUUUUUUUUCUAGGAGGCUAUCUGUCCAUCAGAAGGUGUGAUCAUUACCAAGGUCCUAGGACCAGCCCCUGGGACAGAUUCUGGUGUUCACCCCUCAGGAGGCUCCUCAAAAUGCAACCUUAGCAGAAGAAGCCCCUCAUUUGGGGGCCACUUACUGACCUUUCUCCAGUCUAAGACCUUGAAAGGAAAGGGAUCAGAUGGACUGCUGGGUUUCACCUGGAAGGAAAAUUUCUCCCUGAAGCAGUACUUGCUCUCCUGCCCUGCAGGGUGAAUGAACGUGGUCCCUUGGGCUCACACCACCCACUUACUUUGGACCUUCAACAUGAGCCACACAGUUCCUCAGCUUGGGCUGCGGCUGGGAGCAUCUUUGCAGAACACUAGUAUGUCCAUACAGGUUCUGCAUCGUACAAUUCAAGGAGGACCGUUUCACAUCAUGGUUGAGCCACAAGGCAGCCUGUCUAGAACAGGAUAAGGGUGUGCACUGUGCAUCUGCAUUAUACAAAAACCAUGCCUCCCCAGUGACAGAGAUACCUGCUCAACUGUAAAGAUCAAUUUUUCCUCUUCUGGGGCCAGCAAUGUCAUUCCUUAAAAGAUGCAUAGUUUGGUAGAUUAAAGAUGGCUGCAAGUUUUUUGCCAUGCUUUUACUUAAGAGAUGGAGUCCGUUUCCCUCCCCUUGGAUCCGGGCUGGUCUUAUCACUUACUCUGUCAACAGAAGGAGGUAUAAGUGAUAACUUCCAAAGCUGCCCCUUGAAUGAUCUACAGCUUUAUGCCCUGGUAACACUCCCUCUUGGAAGCUAGCCAUCGUUCUGGAAGAAGCCCAAGCCAUGAGGAGAGGCCACAUGGAGAAGAAGCUAAUGCUAAUACACUCUGGCCAAUGAUCCCAGCUGAUUUUCAGUCCAACAGCCAGCACCACUGCCAGCCAUCUGAGUGAGCCAUCUUGGACAAUACAGCCUGGUUGUGGAGUCCCCAGAUGACUGCAACCCUAGAUGAUAUCACAGAGCAGAACAUCCUCGCUAAGCCUGGUCACCCACAGAACAUCGAGGGAAAAAAAUUAGUAAGUGUUAUUCUUUUAUAAAGCCACUGUGUUUUAGCAUGGUUUGUGAAUAGCAAUAAAUAACCCAAAACACAUAGUAUUCCAUCAUAUAGAUGUACCCUACUUUAUUUAAC